GAUAGUAGAGAUAAAUGACAACCUGACUGGGAUCAAAAGGAUUACAGACCUCUGACAAUAAACGGUCCUGACAGGUGAUCUGAUUAACCAAACUGCACAUAUGGGUCAGCUGAGGACAUUUGCUUUUCAAAGACACAAGAUGUAUUGAUUUCAGUGAGUUUGGUAGAUGAUCCAGGUAACAUUGGAGCUUAUGGUGGGUAAGGAAUUCUUCUUGGUUGGAAUGGGUUGUUACUCGUGCUGCUGUUGCUUUUCUAUUAUCUCAAAUUGACAUGCUCGCCUCUGACAAAGUGUUUUUGUUUCUAUACCAACACCUACAAGAUACGUUCUCCUGUAUUUCCCUGGAUUUUCUGUAAACAUGAGAGAUGCAUGUGCUAACUUCUACUGUGGAGAAGUUGGCUGUCACAGCUGCUGCUGAGCUGUGACCACUCACACCUGAUCAUCAUUACCCUGAUCCCCAGCUGCUGCCAUAUAAGGACAGAUCCUUCCCCUGCACGGCGUCAGAUUGUUGUGAAACCCUCAGCGUUGCCUCUCCUGUCCCCGAUCCUGACCCUCUCCACUGGAUUUGGACCUCCUGACUUUGACCCCCUGUCUGUCUGACCCUGAGAUCAGGAACUGCCUGACCCCGAUUUGGAUUCCCUGGUUCUGACCCUGGCCUGUCUGACUAAGAAUAAGUUUAUUUCCUAAUAAACACCUGUUUUUUUAUUCAC